CAGCAGCCGCGGUAAUACGUAGGUGGCAAGCGUUGUCCGGAAUUAUUGGGCGUAAAGCGCGCGCAGGCGGUCCUUUAAGUCUGAUGUGAAAUCUUGCGGCUCAACCGCAAGCGGUCAUUGGAAACUGGGGGACUUGAGUGCAGGAGAGGAAAGCGGAAUUCCAUGUGUAGCGGUGAAAUGCGUAGAGAUAUGGAGGAACACCAGUGGCGAAGGCGACUUUCUGGUCUGUUACUGACGCUGAGGCGCGAAAGCGUGGGGAGCAAACAGGAUUAGAUACCCUGGUAGUCCACGCCGUAAACGAUGAGUGCUAGGUGUUAGGGGGUUUCCGCCCCUUCUGUGCUGCAGCUAACGCAUUAAGCUCUCCGCCCGGGGAGUACGGUCGCAAGACUGAAACUCAAAGGAAUUGACGG
rnacentral:rRNA from 1 species